GGGGCUAUAGCUCAGUUGGGAGAGCGCCACACUGGCAGUGUGGAGGUCAGGGGUUCAAGUCCCCUUAGCUCCACCA
rnacentral:tRNA from 1 species